rnacentral:rRNA from 1 species
AGCAGCCGCGGUAAUUCCAGCUCCAAUAGCGUAUAUUAAAGUUGUUGCAGUUAAAAAGCUCGUAGUUGAACCUUAGGCCCGUGCGGGUGGUCCGUCCUCUGGGCGAGCACUGCGUCGUCGCGGGUCUCACCUUCUGGCGAGCGUGGAUGCCAUUCACUUGGUGUCCGCGGGAACCAGGACCUUUACCUUGAAAAAAUUAGAAUGCUCAAAGCGGGCUCGUACGCUUGAAUACAUUAGCAUGGAAUAAUGAAAUAGGACGACGGUUCUAUUUUGUUGGUUUCCGGGACAGUCGUAAUGAUUAAUAGGGAUAGUUGGGGGCAUUCGUAUUCAAUUGUCAGAGGUGAAAUUCUUGGAUUUAUUGAAGACGGACUACUGCGAAAGCAUUUGCCAAGGAUGUUUUCAUUAAUCAAGAACGAAAGUUGGGGGAUCGAAGACGAUCAGAUACCGUCGUAGUCUCAACCAUAAACUAUGCCGACUGGGAAUCGGGCGAUGUUAUUUUUUUGUGACUCGCUCGGCGCCCCGAG